AGGAUUCGGGAGAGGAGUUUGUGGGCCGGGUGAACAACAAGUAGACGGACACAAAUUCGAACCACACGCGGAUAAAUCCGGGUGGUGAUUCACGGAGGGAGGACAAGACGGUUUAGGACGACACAGGACAGAACCGCUGUCUUUGUACGAGUAAGUUCGAAACAGAUAAACAUGAAAAAUAUAACAAAAACAUGCAAAAUCUGUACAAACAUGUAAAACCGAUCACGCUGUUAAACAUAACCUAAAAUUACAGCUACAGCACAAACGUAGAACACAAAUCCGGAUCGGGUUGGACGGAAAACAGGAAACAAACAAAUUCUUUGAUCUGCCUCGAAUAAAUUGGGCUGAUUCGCA